rnacentral:rRNA from 1 species
UGAAUACGAGACGCUAAGGCGUCGAAGUAGUGUAUGUCAUGCUUCCAAGAAAAGCUUGCACUGUCAUAGAUAAAAAACGCCUGUACCAUAACCGACACAGGUGGGUAGGUAGAGUAUACUAAGGGGCGCGAGAUAACUCUCUCUAAGGAACUCGGCAAAAUAACUCCGUAACUUCGUGAGAAGGAGUGCCUUAUUCGUAAGGUUGCAAUAACAAGAUCCAAGCAACUGUUUAUCAAAAACACAGGUCUCCGCUAAGUCGUAAGACGAUGUAUGGGGGCUGACGCCUGCCCCGUGCCAGAAGGUUAAAGAAGUCGGUUAGCAAUUGCGAAGCUGGUAACUGAAGCCCUGGUGAACGGUGGCCGUAACAAUAACGGUCCUAAGGUAGCGAAAUUCCUUGUCGGGUAAGUUCCGACCCGCACGAAAGGCGUAAUGAUUUGGAUACUGUCUCGGAGAGGGGCUCGGUGAAAUAGACUUGUCUGUGAAGAUGCGGACUACCUGCACCAGGACAGAAAGACCCUAUGAAGCUUUACUGUAACUUGAAAUUGAAAUUGGACUUUAUUCGCGCAGUAUAGGUGGGAGGCGUUGAUUAUAAUCUUGCGGGAUUAUUGGAGCCAUCAGUGAGAUACCACCCUUGUAAUGUUAGAUUUCUAACUUUGAAUCAUUAUCUGGUCAAAGAACAGUUUCAGGCGGGCAGUUUGACUGGGGCGGUCGCCUCCUAAACGGUAACGGAGGCGUACAAAGGUUUCCUCUGAACGGUUAGAAAUCGUAUCUAGAGUGUAAAGGCAUAAGGAAGCUUGACUGUGAGACCUACAAGUCGAGCAGGGACGAAAGUCGGUCUUAGUGAUCUGACGGUACUGAGUGGAAAGGCCGUCACUCAACGGAUAAAAGUUACUCUAAGGAUAACAGGCUGAUCUCCCCCAAGAGUUCACAUCGACGGGGAGGUUUGGCACCUUGAUGUCGGCUCAUCGCAUCCUGGGGCGGUAGUACGUCCCAAGGGUUGGGCUGUUCGCCCAUGAAAGCGGUACGCGAGCUGGGUUCAGAACGUCGUGAGACAGUUCGGUCCAUAUCCGGUGUAGGCGUUAGAAUAUUGAGAGGAGCCUUCUUUAGUACGAGAGGACCGAGAAGGACAUACCUCUGGUGUACCAGUUAUCGUGCCAACGGUAAACGCUGGGUAGCUAUGUAUGGAGUGGAUAACCGCUGAAAGCAUCUAAGUGGGAAGCCCACCUCAAGAUAAGUAUUCUCA